rnacentral:lncRNA from 1 species
GCCACACCAAAAAUUGACUUCAUCUCCCCUGCUUAUGUACCAUUUAGUGUUCCCUUUAAGAUCAGUUAUCUUAUUCUUUAAGCCACUCCAAACAGAAGAAUAGAUAUGGUGCUUAAUGUGACCAUCAUUUCUAUGAACUCUUGCUUUAAGAAUGCAUUCACACAGUCAUUGGAAUUAGCCAAGUUCCAGAUUUGAACCAGGCUAGAGACCUCAUUGAUAUGAAUAAGAGAUCUCAAGCCUAAUCCACAUGAGGCCAAGUAUAGGCAACAUUUU